GUGCCAUUUUAAGGUUGGUGCUGUACACUUAAGAGGCUAACACUAAGUAAAGGAACUCUACAUCAACCCCAGAGUAUAGGCUGUGACCUCCUCUUGGAUCCUGUCUGAAGACACAGAU